rnacentral:misc_RNA from 1 species
GAUGAAGAACGUAGCGAAAUGCGAUACGUAAUGUGAAUUGCAGAAUUCAGUGAAUCAUCGAGUCUUUGAACGCACAUUGCGCCCCCUGGUAUUCCGGGGGGCAUGCCUGUCCGAGCGUCAUUGCUGCCCUCAAGCACGGCUUGUGUGUUGGGCCUCCGUCCUCCUCCCGGGGGACGGGCCCGAAAGGCAGCGGCGGCACCGCGUCCGGUCCUCGAGCGUAUGGGGCUUCGUCACCCGCUCUUGUAGGCCCGGCCGGCGCUUGCCGACACAUCAAUCUUUUUUCCAGGUUGACCUCGGAUCAGGUAGGGAUACCCGCUGAACUUAAGCAUAUCAUAAGCGGAGA